rnacentral:rRNA from 1 species
AUUGAACGCUGGCGGCAUGCCUUACACAUGCAAGUCGAACGGCAGCAUGAUCUAGCUUGCUAGAUUGAUGGCGAGUGGCGAACGGGUGAGUAAUACAUCGGAACGUGCCCUGUAGUGGGGGAUAACUAGUCGAAAGAUUAGCUAAUACCGCAUACGACCUGAGGGUGAAAGUGGGGGACCGCAAGGCCUCAUGCUAUAGGAGCGGCCGAUGUCUGAUUAGCUAGUUGGUGAGGUAAAGGCUCACCAAGGCGACGAUCAGUAGCUGGUCGGAGAGGACGAUCAGCCACACUGGGACUGAGACACGGCCCAGACUCCUACGGGAGGCAGCAGUGGGGAAUUUUGGACAAUGGGCGAAAGCCUGAUCCAGCAAUGCCGCGUGUGUGAAGAAGGCCUUCGGGUUGUAAAGCACUUUUGUCCGGAAAGAAAUGGCUCUGGUUAAUACCUGGGGUCGAUGACGGUACCGGAAGAAUAAGGACCGGCUAACUACGUG